rnacentral:rRNA from 1 species
UACGUAGGCAGCAAGCGUUGUUCGGAGUUACUGGGCGUAAAGAGUGCGUAGGCGGUCCGGCAAGUUCGGUGUGAAAUCUCCCGGCUUAACUGGGAGGGUGCGCCGAAGACUGUUGGGCUGGAGUGUGGGAGAGGCAGGCGGAAUUCCUGGUGUAGCGGUGAAAUGCGCAGAUAUCAGGAGGAACACCUAUGGCGAAGGCAGCUCGCUGGGACGGUACUGACGCUGAGGCGCGAAAGCGUGGGGAGCGAACAGG